CCUACGGGAGGCAGCAGUGAGGAAUAUUGGGCAAUGGGCGCGAGUCUGAACCAGCCAAGUAGCGUGAAUGAUGACUGCCCUACGGGUUGUAAACUUCGUUUAUAAAGGAAUAAAGUGAGGCACUUGUGCCUUUUUGUAUGUACUUUAUGAAUAAGGAUCGGCUAACUCCGUGCCAGCAGCGGCGGUAAUACGGAGGAUGCGAGCGUUAUCAGGAUUUAUUGGGUUUAAAGGGAGCGUAGAUGGGUUGUUAAGUCAGUUGUGAAAGUUUGCGGCUCAACCGUAAAAUUGCAAUUGAUACUGGCAGCCUUGAGUACAGUUGAGGUAGGCGGAAUUCGUGGUGUAGCGGUGGAAUGCUUAGAUAUCACGAAGAACUCCGAUUGCGAAGGCAGCCUACUAAACUGCCACUGACAUUGAUGCUCGAAAGUGUGGGUAUCAAACAGGAUUAGAUACCCUAGUAGUC
rnacentral:rRNA from 1 species